rnacentral:tRNA from 1 species
GCCCUGGUAGUGUAGUGGCCUAUCAUGAAGCCCUGUCGAGGCUUCGACCCGGGUUCAAAAGCCAGGGUCAAGGUA